ensembl:lncRNA
CAGUGGAGGACUUAGGAGGAGGGGUGAGCCCUCGGCCGGAAGGGGACUUUGGUGGGGGUGGGGAAGAUGGUUCUGAGGUUGCCCUCAGAAGCGGCCCACUGUCCUGGGCUGCGGUUUCUUCCUGGAGACUGAGGACAGACACUGCAGGCUUCUCAGGGCUCCCAGAAGUCAGCCCUGAGGCGGCUGGAGAGGAGCCUAGAGAUACGGCAAAGUGCAAAUGUGAACGGGCCAGCACCUAGCAAACACCUUCCAGGGGCUCCUGGAGGCCGGAGCUGGACACCGCGAGUGGCUGCCCCUGGGACGGGGGAGACCAGCGAUGAGGUGGCUCUCUGGAGCUAAGGCUGGAUAGGAAGACCGUCCUUGAACAGGGCCCCGGUUGGCACACUCUGUCCACCCUAUGCACCAGCCCACUGUCCUCACGGCAUGCAACAGUGAUCUUCCCAAAGCUGGCCCCUGACCAUGGGCUGGCACUCCUGGGCCUGCCCUGCCGUUCUUCCCCGCCCCAGCCUCACUAGAAUGGCACAAGCCCCCAGCAGUUUUGGGGCCUGAGACGAGACCUGUUUCUGACCACGGAUUUCCCCACCAGCCCCAGAUCCAGACCAGCCAGACAGGAGCCUGGGCGGUGGGGGAAACGGGCUGAAUCCUCGCCCUGCAGAUAUUCUGCAGAAGGAGCCACCCGCCUCCUCUCCACCGCGCCAGCCUCCCUGUCGUUUGUGACCAUCUAUGCCCAGUUUGUAAUGUGGGAUCCAGGAGCGCAGGCACGGCGAGGACCUCUGCACUGGGAGCCCCCUCCACAAAGCUCCCCUGCGAGUUCCGGCUGGGAUUCGCCGGCGGGGCCGGCUGGAGCCUGACCUCCGCCCUCCCGGAUCGCGGCGGCACGACCAGACAAGGUACCCACCCCCGCCAGCGCUCCUGCUGGCCUGGGACCCCGAGCCACUGGCGCGAAUGACUGCUGGGGAGCGGGGCCCGCGGCCAGCACGGGCGGACCCCCUGCGCAGGGCGCGCGGGGCGGCCGGGAGGGCGCCACCUCCCACGUCCCGGCUUGAGGGCCGCCGGGGCCGCGCUCGCGCGGGGCGGCCUCGCCGGCGGCGAUUGGGCGCGCGGCCGUGACGUCACCGCGCGCGCGCGCGCUCAGGGGUCUGGCUCCGGGCUCCGGGCUUUCGGUUGAGCCGCCGCCUGGCGCGCGCCCGUGCCGAGUAGCGGGAGCGGGGCGCGCGCCCGGCGCCAGGCUGAGGCGGCUCGCGGGGUUCCCGCGCCCCCUUCCGCGGCCCGCGCCCUCGGCACCCCCGCGGCAGGCCGUUAUCCCAGAC